GAUGAACGCUGGCGGCGUGCUUAACACAUGCAAGUCGAACGGAAAGGCUCCUGCUUGCAGGGGUACUCGAGUGGCGAACGGGUGAGUAACACGUGGGUGAUCUGCCCUGCACUUCGGGAUAAGCCUGGGAAACUGGGUCUAAUACCGGAUAGGACCACAUUUUGGAUGGUGUGGUGGAAAGUUUUUCGGUGUGGGAUGAGCUCGCGGCCUAUCAGCUUGUUGGUGGGGUAAUGGCCUACCAAGGCGUCGACGGGUAGCCGGCCUGAGAGGGUGUACGGCCACAUUGGGACUGAGAUACGGCCCAGACUCCUACGGGAGGCAGCAGUGGGGAAGAUUGCACAAUGGGCGCAAGCCUGGUGCAGCGACGCCGCGGGGGGGAUGACGGCCUUCGGGUUGUAAACUCCUUUCGCUAGGGACAAAGCGUUUUUGUGACGGUACCUGGAGAAGAAGCACCGGCUAACUACGUG
rnacentral:rRNA from 1 species